rnacentral:rRNA from 1 species
ACGGAAUAGAUACCCUGGUAGUCCACGCCCUAAACGAUGAAUACUCGAUGUUAGCGAUAUACAGUUAGCGUCAAAAAGCGAAAAAAGCGUUAAGUAUUCCACCUGGGGAGUACGCCCGCAAGGGUGAAACUCAAAGGAAUUGACGGGGGCCCGCACAAGCGGAGGAGCAUGUGGUUUAAUUCGAUGAUACGCGAGGAACCUUACCCGGGCUUGAAAGUUACUGAAUAACUCAGAGAUGAGUUAGUCCGCAAGGACAGGAAACUAGGUGCUGCAUGGCUGUCGUCAGCUCGUGCCGUGAGGUGUUGGGUUAAGUCCCGCAACGAGCGUAACCCCUAUGUUUAGUUGCCAGCAUGUAAUGGUGGGGUACUCUAAACAGACUGCCUGUGCAAACAGAGAGGAAGGAGGGGACGACGUCAAGUCAUCAUGGCCCGUUACGUCCGGGGGCUACACA